CAGUCGCCACGGUAAUACGUAGGGUGCAAGCGUUAUCCGGAAUUAUUGGGCGUAAAGAGCUCGUAGGCGGUUUGUCGCGUCUGCUGUGAAAACUGGAGGCUCAACCUCCAGCCUGCAGUGGGUACGGGCAGACUAGAGUGCGGUAGGGGAGAUUGGAAUUCCUGGUGUAGCGGUGGAAUGCGCAGAUAUCAGGAGGAACACCGAUGGCGAAGGCAGAUCUCUGGGCCGUAACUGACGCUGAGGAGCGAAAGCGUGGGGAGCGAACAGGAUUAGAUACCCCUGUAGUCCCUGUCUCUUAUAC
rnacentral:rRNA from 1 species